rnacentral:rRNA from 1 species
UUACUGGGCGUAAAGCGAGUGUAGGUGGCUCAUUCAAGUCACAUGUGAAAUCCCCGGGCUUAACCUGGGAACUGCAUGUGAUACUGGUGGUGCUAGAAUAUGUGAGGGGGAAGUAGAAUUCCAGGUGUAGCGGUGAAAUGCGUAGAGAUCUGGAGGAAUACCGAUGGCGAAGGCAGCUUCCUGGCAUAAUAUUGACACUGAGAUUCGAAAGCGUGGGUAGCAAACAGGAUUAGAUACCCUGGUAGUCCACGCCGUAAACGAUGUCUACUAGCCGUUGGGGUCCUUGAGACUUUAGUGGCGCAGUUAACGCGAUAAGUAGACCGCCUGGGGAGUACGGCCGCAAGGUUAAAACUCAAAUGAAUUGACGGGGGCCCGCACAAGCGGUGGAGCAUGCGGUUUAAUUCGAUGCAACGCGAAGAACCUUACCUGGUCUUGACAUAGUGAGAAUCUCUCAGAGAUGAGAGAGUGCCUUCGGGAACUCACAUACAGGUGCUGCAUGGCUGUCGUCAGCUCGUGUCGUGAGAUGUUGGGUUAAGUCCCGCAACGAGCGCAACCCUUUUCCUUAUUUGCCAGCGGGUUAAGCCGGGACUUUAAGGAUACUGCCAGUGACAAACUGGAGGAAGGCGGGGACGACGUCAAGUCAUCAUGGCC